rfam:Panulirus interruptus potassium channel (shaker) mRNA, B splice form, pore I variant, complete cds.
GUGGGCUAUGGAGAUAUGACGCCCGUGGGUGUGUGGGGCAAGAUCGUUGGGUCCCUGUGUGCCAUCGCUGGUGUCCUUACCAUCGCUCUUCCUGUUCCCGUUAUCGUGUCAAAC